rnacentral:piRNA from 1 species
UGACAAGUAAAAUGGGCACCUCAGUCCC